AUGGUUUAUCAUCAAGAGGGAAGUUUUGUAAUAGCAACAGGAAGAAUUGCUCAGGUAACCGUGAGUGUAUAUAACUUGGGUCAUGUUAUAAAUGCUCUGGCUAAACCUAUUGACAGGAGAGGCGAAAUUGUAGCUUCCGAAUCUCUCUUAAUUGAAUCUCCUGCUCCAAGUAGAAUUUCCAGGCGUUCCACAUACGAACCUCUUCAAACAGGGCUUAUUGCUAUCGAUUCGAUUAUCCCUAUAGGGCGCGAUCAGCGGGAGUUCAUUAUUGGGGACAGAUAG
rnacentral:rRNA from 1 species